GACGUAGGAUGCAAGCGUUAUCCGGAAUGAUUGGGCGUAAAGCGUCCGCUGGUGGCAAUGUAAGUCUGCUGUCAAAGCGUCUGGCUCAACCAGAUAAAGGCAGUGGAAACUACAUAGCUAGAGUAAGGUAGGGGUAGAGGGAAUUCCUGGUGUAGCGGUGAAAUGCGUAGAGAUCAGGAAGAACACCGGUGGCGAAAGCGCUCUGCUGGACCUUAACUGACACUGAGGGACGAAAGCUAGGGGAGCGAAUGGG
rnacentral:rRNA from 1 species